rnacentral:rRNA from 1 species
AGAUUGAACGCUGGCGGCAGGCCUAACACAUGCAAGUCGAGCGGCAGCACGGGUACUUGUACCUGGUGGCGAGCGGCGGACGGGUGAGUAAUGCCUAGGAAUCUGCCUGGUAGUGGGGGAUAACGCUCGGAAACGGACGCUAAUGCCGCAUACGUCCUACGGGAGAAAGCAGGGGACCUUCGGGCCUUGCGCUAUCAGAUGAGCCUAGGUCGGAUUAGCUAGUUGGUGAGGUAAUGGCUCACCAAGGCGACGAUCCGUAACUGGUCUGAGAGGAUGAUCAGUCACACUGGAACUGAGACGCGGUCCAGACUCCUACGGGAGGCAGCAGUGGGAAUAUUGGACAAUGGGACGAAAGCCUGAUCCAGCCAUGCCGCGUGUGUGAAGAAGGUCUUCGGAUUGUAAAGCAACUUUAAGUUGGAGAAGGCAAGUUACCUAAUACGUAUCUGUUUAGACGUUACACAGUAAUAAGCACCGCUAACUCUCGCAGAC